ensembl:lncRNA
UCUCUCCCUCCCUCUCUCUCCCUCUCCCCCUCUCUCUCUCUGCCUCCUCCACUAAUGCUCUUCUUUUACUCUGUAUUGUCAUUCAUUCCAUCAGUCAGGAAGAAGAACCCGUUUGAAUACAACAGGCCUGCCUCCCAAAUGGCACCCUAUUCCCUAUAUAGUGCACUACUUUAGACCAGGGCCCGUAGGGACUAAUAUAGGGAAUAGGGCACCAUUGAGAUACAUGGCAGAAUGGGAUCCUGUGAGAUUGAUAGUGACAUGAAGACAGAAUGCAGGGCAGGACAGAGAAAGGCUUAUUUGCACUUGAAAACAAAAACACUACAGAUUAUUACCAAAACCCUGCCGCCUUCACUGUAGUCUUUAAAGUCCUUCAAUGGCUCUCUCUCUUUCUCUCUGUUCAGAGAGUGGUGUGUGUAACUCCUGGUCUCCACAUUGUGUGUGUGUGCGUGCGAUGUUAAUGAGCUUAAUCUAAUCUGUCUGCUCCACUAUUCCCAGAUUACUGUAAUAUGACCCGUUUGGUGCCGUGUGAUAUGGGAACUACACUAUAUCCCAUAAUGAGGGUUAGCUAACACUGGUGUCGCCAUGGAGAUGUCUCAUUCAGGGAAGUGAGGAGAGGAGGUACCCCAGGGGUUAAAUUGAAGAGGACAGGAUUAGAAUUCGUGUAGAACAGACCAGUAGCUGUAAAACCCACAGGAUUAUCUUUGAAUUGGGAUAGAGGUUCUCUAUUCAUUGUAAUGCUAUGGUACGGAGUCUGGGAGCCCGUUUAAAAGGACCCCUCUUAUAGGACCAUAUUUAGCCUAUUGUGAUGUCAUCAAUUAGGCUUGCGUCAUGUCACUAUGACGUCAUCAGUUAGAAUGUUCAAAGGACUGCGUCAUCACCACAUUGUGAUGUCAUCAGUUAGAGGGUGUGUUCCUCUGUUCAGACGUUGCUGACGCCAGAUCUUACAUCGCCUGGAUAGGUAUUUUACAGAUCAGCUAAACACAUCACAUGCUAAAGCAAUCUGGUGCAACCAGUGGUUGAUGCAUGUGACAUCUGAGCAGAGAGACGCAACCAGAAUGUUUUAACAAAGGAUCACUUCAUCUGGUUGUGAUGUCAUCAGUUGGAAUGUUCUACAAAGGGCUACAUCCAAUUAUGAUGUCAGAAUCCCAGAAUAAAGCACAAUGAGUAAACUGUCACUAUACCCUGAAUCAGAACCUGAAGCAGAUACAGUAUGUGACUUAACCCGUGUCCAAGCUGGCCUGAUGUCGGCCCCAAAUCCUACAGGGAUCCUCUAAGAAUGAGAAGAAGAGGCUUCAGUGCACUUCCUGUUCCUCGUUCCGAAUGUCAUGGGCAGGAAAUGUGCGCUUUACUUACUGGCUUCCAGACAGGCAGAGAGAGGGACAGAUGGGCAGAGAGAAGGGCAGACAGACAAGCAGAGAGAGUGACAGACUGGCAGAGAGAGGGGCAGAGCUUGUCAGAGGGGACACUGUUUAGUCAGUGUGGUUUGGUCGUGGUGGGCCGGCGACCACAGCUGCCUAUAGUGUUGAGGUCAGCCCCUUUUCUCAGAUUUUGGGUAGAGAAAGGAGGUCUCCUCCUGUACCCCUCUAUAGACCCAGACACCCUGAGGUCUCCUCCUGUACCCCUCUAUAGACCCAGACACCCUGAGGUCUCCUCCUCUACCCCUCUAUAGACCCAGACACCCUGAGGUCUCCUCCUCUACCCCUCUAUAGACCCAGACACCCUGAGGUCUCCUCCUGUACCCCUCUAUAGACCCAGACACCCUGAGGUCUCCUCCUGUACCCCUCUAUAGACCCAGACACCCUGAGGUCUCCUCCUGUACCCCUCUAUAGACCCAGACACCCUGAGGUCUCCUCCUCUACCCCUCUAUAGACCCAGACACCCUGAGGUCUCUCCCUCUACCCCUCUAUAGACCCAGACACCCUGAGGUCUCCUCCUCUACCCCUCUAUAGACCCAGACACCCUGAGGUCUCCUCCUGUACCCCUCUAUAGACCCAGACACCCUGAGGUCUCCUCCUCUACCCCUCUAUAGACCCAGACACCCUGAGGUCUCUCUCCUCUCUCUCUCUCUCUACACUACAACAGUAAUUUAGUAGCCUACUGUAGUGGGAUCUGUCUCUGUAUCCACAGCAUCUGAGUUGGAGUGCUGAUCCAGGAUUAGGUUCCAACCUGUCCAUAUAAUUUGAUUCAUUAUGAGCUAAAAGGCAAAACUGAUCCUACAUUAUGAAUCACUCCAUACUAGAUCUACUCUGAGAAGCUUUGAGGAUACAGGCCGAGUCCCCCAGUCCUGGUGGCUAAACUGAUCCCAGAUCAGUACUGCUGCUCUGAGAAGCUUUGUGGAAACAGGCCCAGUCCCCCAGUCCUAGUGGCUAAACUGAUCCUGGAUCAGCACUGCUGCUCUGAGAAGCUUUGUGGAUACAGGCCCAGUCCCCCAGUCCUGGUGGCUAAACUGAUCCCAGAUCAGCACUGCUGCUCUGAGAAGCUUUGAGGAUACAGGCCCAGUCCCCCAGUCCUGGUGGCUAAACUGAUCCUAGAUCAGCACUGCUGCUCUGAGAAGCUUUGAGGAUACAGGCCCAGUCCCCCAGUCCUGGUGGUUAAACUGAUCCUAGAUCAGCACUGCUGCUCUGAGAAGCUUUGUGGAUACCCAGGCCCCCAGUCCUGGUGGCUAAACUGAUCCUAGAUCAGCACUGCUGCUCUGAGAAGCUUUGAGGAAACAGGCCCAGUCCCCCAGUCCUGGUGGCUAAACUGAUCCUAGAUCAGCACUGCUGCUCUGAGAAGCUUUGAGGAUACAGGCCCAGUCCCCCAGUCCUGGUGGCUAAACUGAUCCUAGAUCAGCACUGCUGCUCUGAGAAGCUUUGUGGAUACAGGCCCAGUCCCCCAGUCCUGGUGGCUAAACUGAUCCCAGAUCAGCACUGCUGCUCUGAGAAGCUUUGAGAAGCUUUGAGGAUACAGGCCCAGUCCCCCAGUCCUGGUGGCUAAACUGAUCCCAGAUCAGCACUGCUGCUCUGAGAAGCUUUGAGGAUACAGGCCCAGUCCCCCAGUCCUGGUGGCUAAACUGAUCCCAGAUCAGCACUGCUGCUCUGAGAAGCUUUG